UGUCAAGUUGAAAUUACAUAAAGGAGAAGAAUGGCCCGGUGGAAUGGGGACCACCACUUAGUUCAAGUGGAGGGGUCGUAACAUAUCUAUAGUAAAUUUAUUCGUAUGCCAAUUUAUCUUCGGCUGGUUGGAUAGGCCCUACGUACGAAUCCCGAUAGUUUAAACGCCAGUCAAAACAUCUAUUUUAACAGCCACGCUGCGGACAACAUUUAGCGUGAAAAUUCACAAGAUGUUUUAAUCGUGGUGGUCGGAAGUGCACGACGGAGAGGAAUCCUGUUGUGGACUAUCUACGUUAAAUGAUGGAUAGAACGGGAGAUGGAUGACCAUCCCACUCUUGUCACCAUCCGUCCAUCUCACCAAUAUGCUCAAUAUUGAUAUCGCGCUCUGACAACACUUCGGAAGCUGUGAUGGAUCUAUCCUGUGAUCUGCUAAUAGUGGCCACGUCUUUUAGAUAGUUUUCAGUCCCAGACGAUCUGCCGAACACUGCACGUACUUUCUAAUACUAUGUUGGAUAUUCGCAAUAGACCGGAAGUGCGUUUUGCUGUAGAAUUCCUUGGUUUUCAAGCAAAUGAUGACUGAAACUUUUCUGUUUUGGACACGUGAUGCCUUUUUGUGAGAUGACUUCGGUACAGGACAAUGUUUUUGCGUUUCAUUCGAUGCCAAGCGAUAUGUUGGUUGUCUUUGCGGAUUCUGCCCAUCUCCACUCCCCUUGGCCGGACUUCUCCUUCAGUGUCUGUGUUCCGGCUAUUUCGUUACUCGAUCGUAACCUAUGGACAACACUGAUGUGUUUGCAGAUCGCUACUCUUAACUUUCGUUCGGUUUUUUCACAAGUAUUUAACUCACUUCUAGAUCUUAUAACUACAUAUCUCCGAUCACUGCCAAGUUUGCAUUAUUUGCUCUACAAAUAUGUGUGUUGUUAUCUGGAAUUUUAAUUCAAGCGAACUUUUUUCUCGGGUG